CGAGACCACUCUGUCUCGUCUCUCUCGCUCCUACCUACCUCUCUCCUGCGAUCUGGACGGCGGCGCGGCGCGGCGGCACGGCGGCGGCGCAACCAGUCGAGCAGAUCAAGGACCCGUGGUUCUCCCUCCCUCUGCCCUCUCCAACCGGCUGCCUGCUCUCCCGGCGCUGCGGCUGGUAACCGUGGCCGUGGCAGCGAUGAUCGUCGGCGCGAUGGUUGACGUCCGGCCACAGGACCGUCGGCUUCUUGGAGCUCCGGAUCCAUGGCUGCCGGCGAUCGAUGAACGGCCCGCGGGUUGUUGGUGCGAGUAGUUGCAGAUCUAUCCGCACAAGCCUAGCUUUUCCCGUGAAACCAACCGUACAAGCCUAGCUUGAGCAGGUAUUAACCGAACGGCAAAAAAGUAGGAGGAUUAUGCAGAAGGGAUUAGUGGGGGUAUGGGUGGCCGGUGCGGGUUCACCCAAUUACUCGAGCGAUUCAAUACACCAGCGUAUUCGCCCCGCUGUAACCGAACGAGGCCUAAGGUUGUUGCAUUCCCUGGGCUCUCAGCGAUUGGACGGUGCGUGCGUCCCCGUGUGGGCCAGCCCAGCGUUUACUCAGUUUGAGUCCCAAAUUCGUCUUCUCUCUUCAUCCAAAUCUAUUUUCUCUUAACCCUCAAUCUCCACAAUAAAUCAGCCUCGUCGGGGCGAGCGGACUGUGUGGAAGCUCCGGAGCGGACUGUGUUGGUGAAUCGGCGGCGGGGUUUGACCUGGUGGCGUGGUGGCAGUGAAUCGGUGGCAGGCUCCCGCACGAUUCAUUUUUGUCCGAGGCGAAGAACGGCACCCGCAUCGAGCGGGGAGGCGGCGGAAGGGGUUGCAGGGUUCGAGCUUGGGGCGCUGGUGGUGAAUCGGCGGCGGGGUUCGAGCUGGUGAUGCGGUGAAUCGCCAUCUCCUUCUCCGCGCGCCCCUCGACAUCGAUCCGUCCCCGCGCCGCCUCCCCCUACAGGCCGCGUCCGCGCGGGGCAGCCCAAGGGAGAAAAGCGGUGGACGCCCGGCGAACUACAUCGAGUUGGCGAUGGCGGUGGAGGAGGAGAAGACCGCGGCGAGGUCCUUCGUGGGCAGCCCGACGGAGGAGAAGGCAGGGCCAUGGCGAGGUCCUUCGCGGGCGGCCUGACGGAGGAGAAGGCGCGGCCGCGGCGAGGUCCUUCUUGGGCGGCCUGACGGACGAGAAGGUGCGGCAUCUGCUGGCCAAGACGGUGGAGACGGAGAGCUUGCUCGGCACCAGGUCAUCAUGGUCGUGGAAGCUGGCAUCCGUGCCAGCUGUCAUGUCGAUGCUGCAGGUAGCUGCAGCUGGGACUGGUGAGCAGCUCAGUGAAGAACCAGCCCACACACUACAUUGGUUUUCAGCGGUUUGUCUGCGAUCAUUUUUGUUCCUUUUCAUUCUUAUCCCCUCAUAAGUUAACUGCAGUAUCGAUAUUACUCAUCUAUGACUUGACACUUUUUUUGGGGAUCAAAUCCCCUUAUUUUCAGAGUUUAAAUGGUGUCAUAAUGGGUCUGUUUGAUGAGCGCAGGUAGUGAAUCUUGAUUUCACUUCCUUAGCUCUGAUGGAGAUAGGUUUACUCGAAACGCUAAUGUGGUGGAUUCCCAGUAUCCUCAUAUAUCUGAAACGUUCUUAUAUUAUUCCUGUCUGUCAUUCUACAUUUGCUCCCUAAAUUUAUUAUAAUGAAUAAUGCAAAAAAAGCACCAACUUAGCAUAUCUGAAUCAUCAGGUACGGAAUAAGAUUUUUCUUAAGUUAAUCUUCGUUUGGUCAGUUUAGUAAUACUUCUGUCAAAGAAGAUUUAAUAAUUGUUGCUUAUAAAAAUAAAUUGCAGAUUAUUCAUUUCAUUUGUUCGGAAGAAAGAUAUUGCUCCAGUAACAAGGGUAUAGAAGACCGGACUAUAACGUGCUCAAGAAUAAAGAUUAAUGUUUCACUUGGAACAAUUUGGGUAGAUAUUUCGAUGUUGCUCGCAUCUUUUUGGAGAGAUAUGAGAAAAACUUAUUUGCUAUGGAGUAAAGCUUACCUUGAAAACAUUUUCCAUUGUAUUUAUACCGUUUUCGAAAGCUUAAACAACUUUAGAGCAAUGGAACUUCCUAUUCAAAGAAUAGUGAGAUGGAUAAAGGAAGGAAAAUAGUGGCAGGGUUAUUGUCAACUAAUCCCGUGUAUUACAUGUAAAUGUUGAGUCUGAACCUGCUCCCAGGUGUGGCAUGGCCAAGCCAUUGUCACUGGUCCAGAGUCCAGCAUACGUCAAUAUAUAGGAUAGCUAAAGGUGUGAGUUGUGCUUAUCAUGGUCAAUAACAUUAUUAUACCACAUGCAUAGUCCAGACUUCUAUUAUUUUGUGUUUGGUUUCUUUUACUUUCUGUGGUUUCUUACAACAAUGAGACCAAAAAAAGGAGUUUCCGUCUUGCUAUGCAGGUAAAUGGACCUUUACAUGUGCUGCUAGAAGUUCAAUUGGUGGGCUUAUGCAUCCACCAAAUGUCGUGUGCAGUUAUCAUCAACUGUGUAGAACAUGGCGAUGCCAUCUGUAUCAAAUAGUCUCUGCAGCUACAAAGCACACUAGGCAAGAGGAAUAUGAGGCAUUUAUUGCCUGAAAUAUUCCUACUGAAGUUCAUAUACCAUGAUGUUAAUAUGGUUGAAGAUGCAAAAGAAUAAAGAGAUGGAAAGAGGUAAAUGAGGAGGACCAAAAUAUAAGGAGCCAGAAGUGAAGGUACUACAUGAAGAAUGAUUUACACUUUGAUGUACUAAACUCAUGUAAUGGAUGAGAAUUCAUGGAAUACCAAAUUAAUUCGCCUUGAUUUGUGACAGUUUUGAUGAUUGUUAAAUUGUUACAGAACAUUGAACUUAUUAUGUAUUUCAAGAUUUUCUACCAACUA